GGGCAAUACAAUAUCUCCUGGAGUCACUGAAAAAGUUACUGAAGAGGAUUCUCGGGGCUGUACUCUGGCAGUUCCCGUGCUCCGGGAGCAUAGACAGAGACCCGCGGCCCCCGGCCCCCUCCCGGACCUGGUCUGCAGGACAUCGAGCCUGGAGGAGUGGAUGUGAGGGCUGCAGGGUGUAGGGCAGAAAAUGUACACCUGAAAGCUAUUCCCCCUGCUCUGCCCCCUUCCUCUCCAGCCCUUCCCACUCCCCUGCCUCUCCUCUCCCCACUAUAUAUUUUGUUAGGUUAGGCUAAGUUAUAUUAUAGUGUUUAAU